GAUCUAGCCAUGGGCAGGUUGAAGGUUGGGUAACACUAACUGGAGGACCGAACCGACUAAUGUUGAAAAAUUAGCGGAUGACCUGUGGCUGGGGGUGAAAGGCCAAUCAAACCGGGAGAUAGCUGGUUCUCCCCGAAAGCUAUUUAGGUAGCGCCUCGUGAAUUCAUCUCCGGGGGUAGAGCACUGUUUCGGCUAGGGGGCCAUCCCGGCUUACCAACCCGAUGCAAACUGCGAAUACCGGAGAAUGUUAUCACGGGAGACACACGGCGGGUGCUAACGUCCGUCGUGAAGAGGGAAACAACCCAGACCGCCAGCUAAGGUCCCAAAGUCAUGGUUAAGUGGGAAACGAUGUGGGAAGGCCCAGACAGCCAGGAUGUUGGCUUAGAAGCAGCCAUCAUUUAAAGAAAGCGUAAUAGCUCACUGGUCGAGUCGGCCUGCGCGGAAGAUGUAACGGGGCUAAACCAUGCACCGAAGCUGCGGCAGCGACACUGUGUGUUGUUGGGUAGGGGAGCGUUCUGUAAGCCUGCGAAGGUGGCCUGUGAGGGUUGCUGGAGGUAUCAGAAGUGCGAAUGCUGACAUAAGUAACGAUAAAGCGGGUGAAAAGCCCGCUCGCCGGAAGACCAAGGGUUCCUGUCCAACGUUAAUCGGGGCAGGGUGAGUCGACCCCUAAGGCGAGGCCGAAAGGCGUAGUCGAUGGGAAACGGGUUAAUAUUCCCGUACUUGGUGUUACUGCGAAGGGGGGACGGAGAAGGCUAUGUUGGCCGGGCGACGGUUGUCCCGGUUUAAGCGUGUAGGUGUGUGUUCCAGGUAAAUCCGGUUCACUUUAACACUGAGGCGUGACGACGAGGCACUACGGUGCUGAAGCAACAAAUGCCCUGCUUCCAGGAAAAGCCUCUAAGCAUCAGGUAACAUCAAAUCGUACCCCAAACCGACACAGGUGGUCAGGUAGAGAAUACCAAGGCGCUUGAGAGAACUCGGGUGAAGGAACUAGGCAAAAUGGUGCCGUAACUUCGGGAGAAGGCACGCUGACACGUAGGUGAAGUGAUUUACUCAUGGAGCUGAAGUCAGUCGAAGAUACCAGCUGGCUGCAACUGUUUAUUAAAAACACAGCACUGUGCAAACACGAAAGUGGACGUAUACGGUGUGACGCCUGCCCGGUGCCGGAAGGUUAAUUGAUGGGGUCAGCGCAAGCGAAGCUCCUGAUCGAAGCCCCGGUAAACGGCGGCCGUAACUAUAACGGUCCUAAGGUAGCGAAAUUCCUUGUCGGGUAAGUUCCGACCUGCACGAAUGGCGUAAUGAUGGCCAGGCUGUCUCCACCCGAGACUCAGUGAAAUUGAACUCGCUGUGAAGAUGCAGUGUACCCGCGGCAAGACGGAAAGACCCCGUGAACCUUUACUAUAGCUUGACACUGAACAUUGAGCCUUGAUGUGUAGGAUAGGUGGGAGGCUUUGAAGUGUGGACGCCAGUCUGCAUGGAGCCGACCUUGAAAUACCACCCUUUAAUGUUUGAUGUUCUAACGUGGACCCGUUACCCGGGUUGCGGACAGUGUCUGGUGGGUAGUUUGACUGGGGCGGUCUCCUCCUAAAGAGUAACGGAGGAGCACGAAGGUUGGCUAAUCCUGGUCGGACAUCAGGAGGUUAGUGCAAUGGCAUAAGCCAGCUUGACUGCGAGCGUGACGGCGCGAGCAGGUGCGAAAGCAGGUCAUAGUGAUCCGGUGGUUCUGAAUGGAAGGGCCAUCGCUCAACGGAUAAAAGGUACUCCGGGGAUAACAGGCUGAUACCGCCCAAGAGUUCAUAUCGACGGCGGUGUUUGGCACCUCGAUGUCGGCUCAUCACAUCCUGGGGCUGAAGUAGGUCCCAAGGGUAUGGCUGUUCGCCAUUUAAAGUGGUACGCGAGCUGGGUUUAGAACGUCGUGAGACAGUUCGGUCCCUAUCUGCCGUGGGCGCUGGAGAACUGAGGGGGGCUGCUCCUAGUACGAGAGGACCGGAGUGGACGCAUCACUGGUGUUCGGGUUGUCAUGCCAAUGGCACUGCCCGGUAGCUAAAUGCGGAAGAGAUAAGUGCUGAAAGCAUCUAAGCACGAAACUUGCCCCGA
rnacentral:rRNA from 1 species